UACGUAGGGCGCAAGCGUUGUCCGAAAUUAUUGGGCGUAAAGAGCUCGUAGGCGGUUUGUCGCGUCUGCUGUGAAAACCUAAGGCUCAACCUUGGGCUUGCAGUGGGUACGGGCAGACUAGAGUGCGGUAGGGGUGACUGGAAUUCCUGGUGUAGCGGUGAAAUGCGCAGAUAUCAGGAGGAACACCAGCGGCGAAGGCGGCGCUCUGGGCUGGCACUGACGCUGAGGGAGCGAAAGCGUGGGGGAGCGAACAGG
rnacentral:rRNA from 1 species